rnacentral:rRNA from 1 species
GGGUUGUGAGGUUAAGCGACUAAGCGUACACGGUGGAUGCCCUGGCAGUCAGAGGCGAUGAAGGACGUGCUAAUCUGCGAUAAGCGUCGGUAAGGUGAUAUGAACCGUUAUAACCGGCGAUUUCCGAAUGGGGAAACCCAGUGUGAUUCGUCACACUAUCAUUAACUGAAUCCAUAGGUUAAUGAGGCGAACCGGGGGAACUGAAACAUCUAAGUACCCCGAGGAAAAGAAAUCAACCGAGAUUCCCCCAGUAGCGGCGAGCGAACGGGGAGGAGCCCAGAGCCUGAAUCAGUGUGUGUGUUAGUGGAAGCGUCUGGAAAGGCGCGCGAUACAGGGUGACAGCCCCGUACACAAAAAUGCACAUACUGUGAGCUCGAUGAGUAGGGCGGGACACGUGGUAUCCUGUCUGAAUAUGGGGGGACCAUCCUCCAAGGCUAAAUACUCCUGACUGACCGAUAGUGAACCAGUACCGUGAGGGAAAGGCGAAAAGAACCCCGGCGAGGGGAGUGAAAAAGAACCUGAAACCGUGUACGUACAAGCAGUGGGAGCCUCUUUAUGGGGUGACUGCGUACCUUUUGUAUAAUGGGUCAGCGACUUAUAUUCUGUAGCAAGGUUAACCGAAUAGGGGAGCCGAAGGGAAACCGAGUCUUAACUGGGCGUUAAGUUGCAGGGUAUAGACCCGAAACCCGGUGAUCUAGCCAUGGGCAGGUUGAAGGUUGGGUAACACUAACUGGAGGACCGAACCGACUAAUGUUGAAAAAUUAGCGGAUGACUUGUGGCUGGGGGUGAAAGGCCAAUCAAACCGGGAGAUAGCUGGUUCUCCCCGAAAGCUAUUUAGGUAGCGCCUCGUGAAUUCAUCUCCGGGGGUAGAGCACUGUUUCGGCAAGGGGGUCAUCCCGACUUACCAACCCGAUGCAAACUGCGAAUACCGGAGAAUGUUAUCACGGGAGACACACGGCGGGUGCUAACGUCCGUCGUGAAGAGGGAAACAACCCAGACCGCCAGCUAAGGUCCCAAAGUCAUGGUUAAGUGGGAAACGAUGUGGGAAGGCCCAGACAGCCAGGAUGUUGGCUUAGAAGCAGCCAUCAUUUAAAGAAAGCGUAAUAGCUCACUGGUCGAGUCGGCCUGCGCGGAAGAUGUAACGGGGCUAAACCAUGCACCGAAGCUGCGGCAGCGACACUAUGUGUUGUUGGGUAGGGGAGCGUUCUGUAAGCCUGUGAAGGUGGCCUGUGAGGGUUGCUGGAGGUAUCAGAAGUGCGAAUGCUGACAUAAGUAACGAUAAAGCGGGUGAAAAGCCCGCUCGCCGGAAGACCAAGGGUUCCUGUCCAACGUUAAUCGGGGCAGGGUGAGUCGACCCCUAAGGCGAGGCCGAAAGGCGUAGUCGAUGGGAAACAGGUUAAUAUUCCUGUACUUGGUGUUACUGCGAAGGGGGGACGGAGAAGGCUAUGUUGGCCGGGCGACGGUUGUCCCGGUUUAAGCGUGUAGGCUGGUUUUCCAGGCAAAUCCGGAAAAUCAAGGCUGAGGCGUGAUGACGAGGCACUACGGUGCUGAAGCAACAAAUGCCCUGCUUCCAGGAAAAGCCUCUAAGCAUCAGGUAACAUCAAAUCGUACCCCAAACCGACACAGGUGGUCAGGUAGAGAAUACCAAGGCGCUUGAGAGAACUCGGGUGAAGGAACUAGGCAAAAUGGUGCCGUAACUUCGGGAGAAGGCACGCUGAUAUGUAGGUGAAGCGACUUGCUCGUGGAGCUGAAAUCAGUCGAAGAUACCAGCUGGCUGCAACUGUUUAUUAAAAACACAGCACUGUGCAAACACGAAAGUGGACGUAUACGGUGUGACGCCUGCCCGGUGCCGGAAGGUUAAUUGAUGGGGUUAGCGGUAACGCGAAGCUCUUGAUCGAAGCCCCGGUAAACGGCGGCCGUAACUAUAACGGUCCUAAGGUAGCGAAAUUCCUUGUCGGGUAAGUUCCGACCUGCACGAAUGGCGUAAUGAUGGCCAGGCUGUCUCCACCCGAGACUCAGUGAAAUUGAACUCGCUGUGAAGAUGCAGUGUACCCGCGGCAAGACGGAAAGACCCCGUGAACCUUUACUAUAGCUUGACACUGAACAUUGAGCCUUGAUGUGUAGGAUAGGUGGGAGGCUUUGAAGUGUGGACGCCAGUCUGCAUGGAGCCGACCUUGAAAUACCACCCUUUAAUGUUUGAUGUUCUAACGUUGACCCGUUAUCCGGGUUGCGGACAGUGUCUGGUGGGUAGUUUGACUGGGGCGGUCUCCUCCUAAAGAGUAACGGAGGAGCACGAAGGUUGGCUAAUCCUGGUCGGACAUCAGGAGGUUAGUGCAAUGGCAUAAGCCAGCUUGACUGCGAGCGUGACGGCGCGAGCAGGUGCGAAAGCAGGUCAUAGUGAUCCGGUGGUUCUGAAUGGAAGGGCCAUCGCUCAACGGAUAAAAGGUACUCCGGGGAUAACAGGCUGAUACCGCCCAAGAGUUCAUAUCGACGGCGGUGUUUGGCACCUCGAUGUCGGCUCAUCACAUCCUGGGGCUGAAGUAGGUCCCAAGGGUAUGGCUGUUCGCCAUUUAAAGUGGUACGCGAGCUGGGUUUAGAACGUCGUGAGACAGUUCGGUCCCUAUCUGCCGUGGGCGCUGGAGAACUGAGGGGGGCUGCUCCUAGUACGAGAGGACCGGAGUGGACGCAUCACUGGUGUUCGGGUUGUCAUGCCAAUGGCACUGCCCGGUAGCUAAAUGCGGAAGAGAUAAGUGCUGAAAGCAUCUAAGCACGAAACUUGCCCCGAGAUGAGUUCUCCCUGACUCCUUGAGAGUCCUGAAGGAACGUUGAAGACGACGACGUUGAUAGGCCGGGUGUGUAAGCGCAGCGAUGCGUUGAGCUAACCGGUACUAAUGAACCGUGAGGCUUAACCUUACAACGCCGAAGCUGUU